rnacentral:rRNA from 1 species
GCCGAACCGAGCAAACGUUAUUCGGAAUCACUGGGCUUAAAGGGCGCGUAGGCGGUCUCGUAAGUCUGCGGUGAAAUCCUCCAGCUCAACUGGAGAACGGCCGUGGAUACUGCGAGUCUCGAGGGAGGUAGGGGCGUGCGGAACAGAUGGUGGAGCGGUGAAAUGCGUUGAUAUCAUCUGGAACUCCGGUGGCGAAGGCGGCACGCUGGACCUCUUCUGACGCUGAGGCGCGAAAGCCAGGGGAGCAACGGG